CAACAGGGAUUGCCCCAGUAACGGCGAGUGAAGCGGCAACAGCUCAAAUUUGAAAUCUGGCUCUCGGGCCCGAGUUGUAAUUUGUAGAGGAUGCUUUUGGUGAGGUGCCUUCCGAGUUCCCUGGAACGGGACGCCAUAGAGGGUGAGAGCCCCGUCUGGUUGGACACCGAUCCUCUGUAAAGCUCCUUCGACGAGUCGAGUAGUUUGGGAAUGCUGCUCUAAAUGGGAGGUAUAUGUCUUCUAAAGCUAAAUACCGGCCAGAGACCGAUAGCGCACAAGUAGAGUGAUCGAAAGAUGAAAAGAACUUUGAAAAGAGAGUUAAACAGUACGUGAAAUUGUUGAAAGGGAAGCGCUUGUGACCAGACUUGGGCUUGGUUGAUCAUCCGGGGUUCUCCCCGGUGCACUCUUCCGGCCCAGGCCAGCAUCAGUUCGCCCUGGGGGACAAAGGCUUCGGGAAUGUGGCUCUCUCCGGGGAGUGUUA
rnacentral:ncRNA from 5 species